rnacentral:rRNA from 1 species
UGCGUAGGUGGUUUCUUAAGUCAGAGGUGAAAGGCUACGGCUCAACCGUAGUAAGCCUUUGAAGCUGGGAAACUUGAGUGCAGGAGAGGAGAGUGGAAUUCCUAGUGUAGCGGUGAAAUGCGUAGAUAUUAGGAGGAACACCAGUUGCGAAGGCGGCUCUCUGGACUGUAACUGACACUGAGGCACGAAAGCGUGGGGAGCAAACA